rnacentral:rRNA from 1 species
UACGGGGGGGGGCAAGCGUUGUUCGGAAUUACUGGGCGUAAAGGGCGCGUAGGCGGUCUACUAAGUUGGAUGUGAAAAACUCUGGGCUUAACCCAGAGCCUGCAUUCAAAACUGAUAGGCUGGAGUUCUGGAGGGGAUAGCGGAAUUCCUGGUGUAGCGGUGAAAUGCGUAGAUAUCAGGAGGAACACCGGUGGCGAAGGCGGCUAUCUGGACAGAAACUGACGCUGAGGCGCGAAAGCUAGGGGAGCAAACGGG